rnacentral:rRNA from 1 species
CCGGCGGUGGGACAAUGCCAGGCGGGGAGUUUGACUGGGGCGGUCGCCUCCGAAAGGGUAUCGGAGGCGCCCAAAGGUUCCCUCAGAAUGGACGGAAACCAUUCGAAGAGUGCAAAGGCAGAAGGGAGCUUGACUGCGACACCGACGGGUGGAGCAGGUACGAAAGUAGGGCUUAGUGAUCCGGUGGUAUUAAGUGGGAAUGCCAUCGCUCAACGGAUAAAAGCUACCCUGGGGAUAACAGGCUUAUCACUCCCAAGAGUUCACAUCGACGGAGUGGUUUGGCACCUCGAUGUCGGCUCAUCGCAUCCUGGGGCUGUAGUAGGUCCCAAGGGUUGGGCUGUUCGCCCAUUAAAGCGGUACGCGAGCUGGGUUCAGAACGUCGUGAGACAGUUCGGUCCCUAUCCGGCGUGGGCGUAGGAUAUCUGAGAGGAGCUGUCCUUAGUACGAGAGGACCGGGAUGGACGGACCGCUGGUGGACCGGUUGGCUUGCCAAAGCCAUGGCCGGGUAGCCAAGUCCGGAAGGGAUAAACGCUGAAGGCAUCUAAGCGUGAAGCCCCCCUCAAGAUGAGAUAUCCCAUUCUUA